GACGAACGCUGGCGGCGUGCUUAACACAUGCAAGUCGAACGGUAAGGCCCUUCGGGGUACACGAGUGGCGAACGGGUGAGUAACACGUGGGUGAUCUGCCCUGCACUUCGGGAUAAGCCUGGGAAACUGGGUCUAAUACCGGAUAGGACUCCUGGCUUCAUGGUUGGGGGUGGAAAGCUUUUGCGGUGUGGGAUGGGCCUGCGGCCUAUCAGCUUGUUGGUGGGGUAAUGGCCUACCAAGGCGACGACGGGUAGCCGGCCUGAGAGGGUGACCGGUAACACUGGGACUGAGAUACGGCCCAGACUCCUACGGGAGGCAGCAGUGGGGAAUAUUGCACAAUGGGCGCAAGCCUGAUGCAGCGACGCCGCGUGAGGGAUGACGGCCUUCGGGUUGUAAACCUCUUUCAGCUAUGACGAAGCGCAAGUGACGGUAGUAGCAGAAGAAGGACCGGCCAACUACGUGCCAGCAGCCGCGGUAA
rnacentral:rRNA from 1 species